rnacentral:rRNA from 1 species
UAGGGAAUCUUCGGCAAUGGGGGGAACCCUGACCGAGCAACGCUGCGUGAGUGAAGAAGGUUUUCGGAUCGUAAAGCUCUGUUGUUAAGGAAGAACGAGUGUGAGAAUGGAAAGUUCAUACUGUGUCGGUACUUAACCAUAAAGGGACGGCUAACUACGUGCCAGCAGCCGCGGUAAUACGUAGGUACCGAGCGUUGUCCGGAUUUAUUGGGCGUAAAGCGAGCGCAGGCGGUUAGAUAAGUCUGAAGUUAAAGGCAGUGGCUCAAGCAAUGUAGGCUUUGGAAAAUGUUUAACUUGCGUUCAGAAGGGGAGAGUGGAAUUCCAUGUGUAGCGGUGAAAUGCGUAGAUAUAUGGAGGAACACAAGUGGCGAAAGCGGCUCUAUGGACUGUAACUGAAGCUGAGGCUCGAAAGCGUGGGGAGCUAACAGG